AGUCUGCGCACACUCCGUCAGGCCUCCGACCCGCGCGGCCGCUCGCUCCUCUGUCCGCGGAGGCUUGUCGGCUCGGCGAGACAGCAAGAGCUGCGGCCGGCAGGAGGCUGUGCGGACCCAAGGCGGCUGCGGUGUCGCCGGCCUGUGGAAAAUGCCACGAGGCGGCGCUUCGGUUCGUUGCUGAAGUGACGGCCGUUCCCCGCCCCCCCCACCCCUGAACCCCCUGCGACCGCCGGGGAACAGCCCGCCCACGCAGGGAGUACCGCACCGAGACGCUUCGGCGGGAACGAGGCCGACGGCCGGCUGUGCCGGUUGCGCCCCUGAGUCCUCCCGUACAUGGACUCAUGAAAAGCGUCUUGCUGUUGGGAAGUCUUCCUCCCCCCUAUGAAGAAGGCCGGGCUCGCUUGCUGAAGAGAUGGGGAUCCACCUAGAGCCAGCGCCAAGCAACAGACACGAAAAGAUGAAAGUUCUUGUUGCUCCACAUCCUUGUCAGCAUUUGGUGUUCUCAGUGUUACAGAUGUUUGGCCAUUCUGAUAGUAUGUGAUAAAGUGACAUCCCUAUGAAGAGGCUUACAUGGAAAGGAGCUGAGGCCUCCAGCCAACAGACGUGUGUGAACUUUCAUAGAAGUGGAUCUUUCAGCCUAGUCAAGCCUUCAUAUGACCACAGCCCUGGCCGAUGACUUGACACCAAAGCAAAGCCACCCACCAAAGACACUCCCUAAAGCCUUGCCUUCAGAAAUGUGAGAUUAAACACUGGGUUUCAAGAGGUUUUUGGACCACAGGGAUGUGAAACCUUUCUCCGACCUUGAGUCAUGAGGAACAAUUUUUCCAGAGUUUUACAGGCAGCGCUCCCACCGCCCUGGUGGAAGGCCUUCCCGAGGCUCUGCAGAAGCAGUUUGAGUGUGGAGACCCUGCUGUGUGAGGUGUGAGCAGCUGCUGCACGGCCCGCUCUUCAAGUGACUACAGAUGCUGGCAGCUCUUGCUUGUGACCUAGAACUAGACGCUCUCCCUUGCUGCGCAGAGAUGCACAGGUGGGCCUCGUUCUAAAGGUACCGCCUGGCCUCCCGUGUUGCCGUGGCCCUGAACUGGAGAGCGCAGCCCCCCGCCUGUUUCUCGACAAGGUGACCGGAUGAUGGGACUCUUUCUGCUGGAGGCAGUGGGACAAUUUAUGGUUGGGGUCGUAACCAUAGGGGUCAGCGUGGGGGCAUCGAAGGUGCCAAAGUGAAAGCCCCCACUCUGUGUGGAGCCCUUGCAGCUCUCAGCCCCGUGCAGCUCAUCGGAGGAGAGCAGACGCUCUUCGCAGGGACAGCUGCCGGGAAGGUAUUCGCAGAGGGACGUCUUCAUCCUGUGCAUGUGGAAAGUAACCUGAGAAGUCUAAGCUUCCUGCUCAACGACCCCCAGAGCACCAGCCACUUGGCCUUCUGAAGAACUGUUUUAUCACUAAUCAAAGAAGUGAGGGCUAAAAAUAUUUUUAACAAUAUACAUGUGCGUGCCUUUUCUGAAAAGCAGCAGCUGUCAAUAUCAUUUAACAACAUAAGAGCUUUCAAAUUGUUUUGGCAUCAGAUAAAGAAUGUGAAUUGCUAUUUUCUGUUUUAACCCUCCCCAGGUUCUGGGAGAUUUCACCGCAAUUCUGUUUACAGUUUCUUGCUUCACAGCUCCCACAGAAUUAGUAUUCUUGGAUUUCAGGGUCCUCCCUAGUGAAAUCCUUCGGAGAUGUGCACAGCUCUUAGACAUUCUCUGACACUGCUCAUUCAUCUCCUCACUGUGACCCUUAGUCCUCCCCCUUCAUUGGUGAAAAGUGGCUAAAGUUAAAGGAAAUUUGGGUGCAAAAGACCAACAGACCCCAGCCUGGACUCUCCCCACCUGAACUUUCUUGGGCCCAGGCUCCCUGAAUGCCGAUGCUCCACUCCCCUCACACACCUGCUCCUGUGGGCUUGUGCCUUCUGUGGUUCCCCACAGCAGCCAUUCUGCCUGCCUCUGGCUUUGGCCCCCUGACACUUUCUCCAAGUCUGGUUUUGGCUUGCACUUUGCCGGUGACCGUUCCACCUGCACUUUGUCAUCAAUCACCUCAAGCUAAUUCUGUUCACGAACUUAACCAUUAGCCUCAGCAAUGCUCUCUGCCCCAAACCCUGCCCUCCUUGGUCAUCCAAACCCUGCAGGCUGGGAUGGGAGCUAUUUAAUCUCACACUGUUAAUCUGUUUCCCUGCUUGUCAGCCUGGAAUACUAGCAUUUAGUACCUAGUGCCUGGUUUUUAUCAGGCACCCAAUUAUCAUUUGAUAAAUAAUACAUAAAUAUUUUGCAGGUGGUCUUAAACUGAGGGGUCUGCGUGUUUGCCGGGUAAAGCGUCAUUAGCUAAAUCAAAAAACCUAAAAUGCAGAAGGUGGUGGUGCCCGGAGCCUGGAAACUUUCUAGCUUUAUGUGAUCUUAGGAUGUGAAGUAGGUUUCUGAGAAUGGGAAAGGCAAAGGGCCAUACAUGUUCUCAGUUUUAGAGUUAGGAGGAUAAUAUAAGCAAUUCUUAAAUUAGUCCUUUUCUUUUAUAGAUAAAGUUUACUGCCCAUGUUGGUCAGGGACAAGUAAAAGAAAACUUACAGAGGUCCUGACCACAAAGUUUAUAAUAGUUGACCCCCAUGACCACCCUGGGAGUUGGUACAGCAGAUAUUAAAUCACCAUGUGUGGAUGAGAAAUAAGCACUUUGGGGAGUUAAAUAUUUAGCCCGAAUUCUCAUCUAGGAGAUUCAGGGAUGGUCUCAGUCUUAGUUCUUUGGCGUGGAGAUCCAUUGCUCUUUCUAGAGUUACUCAUUUUUAAAUCCAGAAGCAUUAGUUACUUUCAGCCAUGGCAAUAAUUCUAGGUCAUUAGAGUUGUCAUAUAUCUAUUGUUAUCUGUUAUUUUGCCUCAUUCUUCCUACUUAGAUAAUAUUCAUGAUAACAUCUACCUUUAGAUCAGGUAAGAAGAAAGAAAAAUGCACUACUUUGCGUAUGUGCCAGGAGGAGGCUCUGAGGGUCUGCAGACAAUGUUUUCUGAAGGCAAUGGUUAGAAUACAGGCAUAUUUUUCUCUUAUUUUGAUUAGUGCCUAAUGGUUCACCAGCUCAGCUUUCCUCAGACUGUCCCACAACACUGAUGACCAGUAACAGGAGAAUGGGCGGCACCCCUCACGGGAGCGCUGGGAAGGCUGCCGUGAUGUGUGCGCGGUGACUACCAGCCCCCAUGCGUGGACUCAGGACACAGGUGCCAGGAAGCAGCCACGUGUGGAUCCGGAAGGUCUGCUCAGUUAAUGACCUCACUGUCCAAACCGCAGUAACUAUUGAACUGAAACCCACAGCCUUCAUGCUAACAGGGAUCCAUGCCUUUGUUUUUCGCACCUUUUUAUUGUAGUGCUUUCCCUGCAUGCAAAUGAGAUUCUUAAGGAAAACUUCGCAUGAUUUUCUUGAGGAGAAAAGCCUUGAGGUGUCACGCUGUAAAAGUGCAGUGGAAGAGCGGUAAGACUAUAAAUGUUCAGGGUUGAAAAAAAGAAGGAAAGGCUUGGUUUCUGGCUUUAACAGAAGCUAAAUGAAAUCAGGCAAAUUGCUAAGCCACUCGGAAUAUUCUCAGUUAAAAUGAUAACUGUCACACACAAGAGUAUGGCGUAGGUGCCAUCUGCAGUGCAGGUCAGAGGAGCUCUGUAAAGCACUCAUGGUGAGUUCUCUGGGAGCCCCUUGUCACCCCCAUGUCACAGAUGGGGAGAUCCCCCAGUGUCCCACAGCACAUCCCAUCCAAGUUAGAAGAACAACACAACCCCAAGAGGAUUAUAAAUUAGUGUCCAACAUGCUCAAAGAAAAUAUGUUUUAUAUGGUUUUGAAGCAAAUUUCCUGCUGAAAAUUAGCUGAGUAUUGGAAUCAUCCUUUACAUGUCGUUUCUGUUUACAUCUUCACAGAUGAGAUUCCAUUAGGAUGGAACUGAGGGCAGAGAAAGGUUAAAGACUCAACAUAAUCACACACCAAGUUGUAGGCAGGCCUUUUAAAAAUCACAUGUAAGGAAUUACUAAGAAAAUAAAGACAUAUAUCCUGGAGAAGUUGUCAUAAUCCAUCUCAUUGCUUUUUUUCAGUCUCUAAAUGCUUGCUUCUAGAGGUAAUUUAAAAAUUGAAGAAAAUGACAUGUUUCAACAGUACUUGGAGAAGAAAAAAAACUCAAUUUGAAUGCAAACUCCAAAAAUGCACCCAUUACUGUCUAGCAGAUGAGACCAAUACCUUAAUUUCUAGCAUUAUAAAGGGGACCUUUAAAUGACACAGUGGAAUGGGGGUGUGAGCUCCAAGGGACACUCCCCUCACGUCCUGGAGCAGCCAGUGAGGAUGAAGAUAAAAACAAGAGACCACAGGAAUCACUUCUGAACAGACAGAACAUGAACGUGUCCAAGCUACAAAAUAGCAAAUGCCCUCUUCCCCAUAGUGUGAGUGACAGCUGCAGGUCCACCCCAGCUCACCCCUCCCUCCUCCUCCCAAGGCUCCUUGAGAUACCCAGUCAUAGAGCUGCCAGCCCCCUCAGAGCCUCCAGCCUAGAGCAGAGCCAUUUCUUCAACCUCUCCCCCAGUUCACUGAGCACCAGCCAAAUCCAAUGGGUUCUUCCUAACAGCCUCUUACGAGAAGCCCCAAGGCUUCCCCAUGGUGUGUCUCCUUCUUAAUGAGUAAUAACUUGUGCCCUAGGGAUGCUUGGCUGCAAGACAUUAAGUCAGGAUGUUGCCAAGUCCAAACUCAUUCUGCUAGCCUUGUGACAGGCCAAUAAAUUGGGAUGUGUUGGGGCAUACAGAAGUGACUUUAUUUGGAAAGCCAGCUGAUCGAGGGGAUGGCAGACUAGUGUCUUGGGGAACCAUCCUGCUCCAGUCAGAAUACAGGCUCCUUUUAUUAAAAAAAAAAAAGGGGGGGGUGUGGUUGGUUGGUGCAAACUUCUUGCUGCAGGGAUUCUCUCUCUGUUCUUGCAGCCAUCCUCAUGGGUCAAGCCAUGGUGUCCCUGUAAACCGCCAACAAAACAAAAGUUAUUCUCUAUUUUGCAACUUACCAUCUCUACAUGAGGGCAGAAGUGCUGACAUCCUUAAAGGUCAGAGCCUGGAGAACAGGCUCUCUUUUCAGGCUAUAGGCAACAUUGUUUCCCAAAAGGUGCUGCACUGGCAAGACUGAGCUUGGAAAACAGGGCACAGUGGUUAAAAUUAAAGGAACAGAUCCAGUACAGGGCCUGACCUGUUGUCUAUUACAAGGACAAGUCACACAGGAGAGCCUGAUGACACUUCAUGUCUUGUCCAAGUGGCGGUCACAUUCGUGUUCUUGUAAUAAUUCAUUAAACCACACAUUUAUGGUUGCUGAACUAUCUCCCCUGUAGGUAAUAGUUUACGAUUAAAUUUUUAAUUCUGCACUGGAUACAGAGAUACGUUUCUUUGCCCAGGAAUAAAAUAUUCCCUUCUAUCAACUUACUGGGCAAGAUCAUAUACAAAUAUCAAUAAUUAAAAUAUUUUUACACCCUAGAAACAUGCCCCCAUGUUUAAGAGAAUGGGAUUAAAAAGAGGAGCAAUAUGCCAAUAUUCCAAGAUGCAGUAAUAGUUCACAUCAGCACAAACAUCCGUCUCUUUGUUUUCUCUGGUCAAAUGCAUUUGAAUGCACACUCCCAAGUCAUCAGAAUGAAUGGAGUAAAGACAUGAGCCCACACACGUUUCACUCAGUGUGGGAGACACUAAGGGCUUCUCACACCGGAGGAACAGCCUAGAAUGUCCAAGAUUGGGUGUUUCCACCAGCAAUAGGACCUCAGUGUCAGGCAGACUUGCAAGGACCCAGCCUGAAGGAGACUCUGCCAUCCUCCAUGUGUGUCAUCAAAGUUUCACUGAAGGCAGAUCCAUCAGCACUGGAGGCCGACGGGGUCAGGGCCAGAGUGAAGACCAACAGGGAUGCAUUUGUGGGUCAGCCCUAGAAUUCUACACAUCUCCUCACAGGCAGCAGCUCCUCGGCAAAAUAUUUGCACUACGGAAGGGGGGGCAAAAAGAAUUUUUAGUGGAGAGCCAUCCACCUACCAUCCGUCCCCAUGUGAGUGAAAAAACGUGACUUCUGUUAUGUGAAGUGCCUGAAAUGUCUUUUCCAGGAUCGCAGCUGGUGUUCAGCAGCACCGGGUCCACCCCUGACUGGCACUGUGGGCACUCCUCCAGCUUGCAGAAGGUGAUGUUCAUGAUGUUUUCCUGCAGCGUGAGCACGUCCACGGCGCCCACCGCCUUGUCCACAUAGAAGGCGCUCAGCCGCCGCCAGUCCACGCUCUCCAGCCGCGGUCGGAACAGGAAGAAGGGCAGGGGGCCUGAAGCCGCGCUGGGCGGGACACAGGCCAUGGCGGCCCCACCUGCCGCGGUGGCUGCCAAGGUAUCGGGACCUCCCAGACCCCUGGCGAGCGGUUAAUAGACAUGCUUCUGACAGGGCACGCUUGGAAGCAAAUCUGCCGCCUCUGCUGGCAUCAGAGGAGGGGACGGUCCCAUCUACCCACCCUGGCCACCUCCCAGGCCGCCGCCACCGCCCCACCCUCUGGAGCGGGAGAAGACUGAGUCCCGGUGGUCACGGCCUAAGGUCUGGGGGUCCAGACCGUUGCUAUAGCAGCGCCCGGGGCAGGGACACGGAGCAAAGGGCUCGACCGCCUGCGCGCAGUCAGCGUGCACCCAGGGCUCUUCUAAACGUGUGUGGCAGCUCCACUCUGUUUUCUGGAGAGGCUGAAAUGUUUCUAGCAGCAACUUGUAGAUCUCAGGCCUCUCAUUCUUGAGGUCUUCUGGGGGCUGCUUGUAGCUACCACAGAGAUGGAUGAACUAAGGAAAAGCCAGACAUUCCUCAGUUCACCAGGGAGUCUUUGUUUGGACCAACCAUCAGGAAAAAUUUUGUCUUUCCUGGCAGGUCUAUGUGCUGUGGUCUCCAUCCACUGGGCUGCAGGAUCCGCGGGAACAAGGGCCGUGGUUUCUCUUGCUCACUGUUCCACCCCCACACACCCCCGGCACCCCAGCUGCGCGCUCCUGGGCGGGCGCCCGGCGCUGCAGGCGGAUGGGGGCGAGGCUGGGGACGCAGAUCCCGGGGCGCUGCUUGGAGGCCGAAGAACAGUCGAGGGGGAAGCGGCGGGCCAGCUCUCCUUUCAGGGCACAGGAUGAGGACUGUCUGUUUUGGGCAAGUUGUGAGGAGGAGAGCCGCCAGGUGCUUCUCUGGGCCGUCCCAGAUUUUAGGCUGUGGCGCCUCGGGAUCCCCCUCUCUGCUCCCGCCUGCCUCCCCUCCGCGAUCUCGCUCCCACCUCUUCUCUCUGCUUCCCAGCUCCUCUGGAUUUUUCUAAUGUCAAAAAGGCUUUUUGUACUGAAUUUUCUUGUUCUUUCUGGUCAGGGCCUAUGCAUCAGAGUUCCACAGAACAGAGACUGAAAUGCCUUGACAUGCACGUGGGAGCACAGAUCUUGCUCUUGAAUAAGUUUGGGAUGUUACACAGCAACCAAAUUUCAAUAGGCUUCUGUAGUGCAGAAGUUCUUUAAAACGUUCUUGUGCAACCUUGGCCGCAAAAGCAUCAUUUAAGAGGCAAUUUCCCUAACUUACCUCAUGAUGAAACCUGUUUCGCUGGGCAUCCCUAUAAAGAUCUUCUUCAGCAGCUCAGUAGACCACUUGGGAAAACACUUCUCUUCCUGGAGUCAUGGACUUAAAUAAAAGGUCCCUUUAAAAAUAUGACUUUAAUUUAAGGCCCAAGAAAAUGAGACUACUCUAUUUAGGACCGCAUGAUUUUGUCACUCUCCUAACCAGAAACAUUGGGGGCGCCCUGACCCCCAGCACUUCCAGCCUCACCCCCGCCUGGCAGCUCUCCCCAAACCUGCCCAGGGUCUCUUUCUGCCUGGUCAGAUUUAUUCUAUAAGAAACACUGACCUCUGCAAUUAGCAAAGCAGGCACCAGCAAACGUCAUAGCAAAUCAGAUGGAAACCAAUUUUUAAAAUAUGCAUAGAGUGACUGCGUCUUGAGAAAUGCAUUAGUAAAAUCCAAGAACUCUCUGUAAUUAGUAGUAAAAACCCUAGACAGCUGAAAAGCAGAGUUGUCAAUAAUUGACCAAGAAAUUACAAAUACAAAUUAACUGAAAACUUCUAUUGAUUACCUACUGAAUGCAGAUUCAAAUAUGGAAAAAUUAAGGUUCUGCUCUUGAGGAACCUACAGACUGUGAUUAGAAAAGUAUUGCACAAAGUUUUAAAGACAGCACACCUAUAGCGCCAGGGCAGACUAUGGACUCCCAUCAAAUUCCCAGUGAGUAGGGCUGCUGGGUAAUUUCAGGCAGAGAGCAAGAACAGACAGAGGGCAGGAAGGAUGCAGUGGGCUGCGGGGCCAUGGCUGGGCGCAGAGGUCACUGGGAGAUUCAGUGGAGCUGGGGGGGCCCGAGUAUCCGCUUGCCAGGCUUAGGCUGCAGCAGGGGUUGGGCUGGAUCCGGUGUAUUCCUGCCCUGUAAGCUUGUGCAUAGUGGGAACCAUGAGCAGUAUUCUUUUAUUUUGUUUCAUUUUUUCAUUUCUGUGUUACAUUUAGAAUGAGAAAAAAUGAACUUUAAAAAUAAUAGAGAGAUGCAAAUAACUCCAGUCUCUCCUACCAGGUAGAUAUUAAAUCAUCUCCCCCAAAUAGGUGUUAUCCUUUCAGCAUAAUCUUUGUGAAACUUUUACAGAAGCACCAUGUCAAAACUUCCCUAAUGGGAUGAUCUUCUGGCAUCAAUGGUUUUUUGACUACAGGAAGGCAUUUUCGGUAAUUUUUAUCCGACAUUCUGUCUGUUAGAAUAAAAGCCAAUAGUUUUAUUUUAGCAUAAGUGUAUGCACUCAGCUGAGGAUAUUUAAUUUUAAAGCUAUAAUCUGGCCAUGGGUAGGCAGCAGAGAGAGCUCAUCUGUACAGCAUCAUUCAUGACUCAGUUUCUGGUGUCAACACAUUACUUCGCCUACAGAGCAUUCAGCAAUGUGUUCCACAGUUUGAAGCAGCUUACCUUCCUGGUUUGGGGAUAGCUUUACAAUAAUAGUUACAUGGUUACACCCCAGGAUGCUCCCUGCAAAUUCAAUGUUUUUCCUGUUAAAAGAAUUUCCUAAGAUCACUUCCAGAGUAUUGUGACCAAGUUAAGGCGAUAAGAUCAGAUCCCUUCUGCUAUUUUGGUUGUGGGUUUGGUGUAACAAACUAGUAAGACAUGUACUGUUCAUUGUUUCUGAGAACAGUUUAGAGCUUUAGCUUUUUAAACUUACAUAGUUAUCAGAGGAAUAAAGCCAACCACAAUGUAAGGAUCAACAGAAUGCAGUAAUCCACUCAUAAAGGACAGUCAAGUGUGCUUACACAUAUUCAAGAAAUCAAUCAUCUAGGUUAUAAAUAAUAUGUAGUUCAUUUGUGUCCUUCUUUUUUAGAUUCCACGUAUAAAUGAUAUCAUAUGGCAUUUUUCUUUCUCUAUCUGACUUACUUCACUUAGAAUGAUGAUCUCCAGGUCCAUCCAUCUUGCUGUAAAUGGCAUUAUUUAAUUAUUUUUAUGGCUGAGUAGUAUUCCAUUGUGUGUGUGUGUGUAUAUAUAUACACACACAC